UUGAGAAUGAAAGAGAGAGCAAGAGAGAGAAAGAGAGAGAAAGUGUCACGCCUUGGUCAUUGUAUUUUGUGUUUUCGUUAUAUAUUUGUUCAGGCCAGGGUGUGACAUGGGUUUAUUGUGUUGUCGUAUUGGGGUUUUGUAGGCAUUGGGAUUGUGGUUGAUUAGGGGUGUGUCUAGUUUAGGCUUGGCUGCCUGAGGCGGUUCUCAAUCAGAGUCAGGUGAUUCUUGUUGUCUCUGAUAGGGAACCGUAUUUAGGUAGCCUGGGUUUCACUGUGUAUUUCGUGGGUGAUUGUUCCUGUCUCUGUGUAGUGUUCACCAGAUAGGCUGUAUUAGGUUUCAUGUUCCGUUUGUUGUUUUUGUAUUUAUUUAGUUAUUUCAUGUCUCGUCAUUUGUUUCAUUAAAGACAUGAGUAACCACCA